UCCUGGGGCUGAAGUCGGUCCCAAGGGUAUGGCUGUUCGCCAUUUAAAGUGGUACGCGAGCUGGGUUUAGAACGUCGUGAGACAGUUCGGUCCCUAUCUGCCGUGGGCGUUUGAGAAUUGAGAGGGGCUGCUCCUAGUACGAGAGGACCGGAGUGGACGAACCGCUGGUGUUCGGGUUGUGAUGCCAAUUGCAUUGCCCGGUAGCUACGUUCGGAACUGAUAACCGCUGAAAGCAUCUAAGCGGGA
rnacentral:rRNA from 19 species